rnacentral:rRNA from 1 species
GACGAACGCUGGCGGCGUGCUUAACACAUGCAAGUCGAACGGAAAGGCCCUGCUUUUGUGGGGUGCUCGAGUGGCGAACGGGUGAGUAACACGUGAGUAACCUGCCCUUGACUUUGGGAUAACUUCAGGAAACUGGGGCUAAUACCGGAUAGGAGCUCCUGCUGCAUGGGGGGGGUUGGAAAGUUUCGGCGGUUGGGGCUGGACUCGCGGCUUAUCAGCUUGUUGGUGGGGUAGUGGCUUACCAAGGAUUGGACGGGUAGCCGGCCUGAGAGGGUGACCGGCCACAUUGGGACUGGGAAACGGCCCAGACGCCUACGGGAGGCAGCAGUGGGGAAUAUUGCACAAUGGGCGGAAGCCUGAUGCAGCAACGCCGCGUGCGGGAUGACGGCCUUCGGGUUGUAAACCGCUUUCGCCUGUGACGAAGCGUGAGGGACGGUAAUGGGUAAAGAAGCACCGGCUAACUACGU